UUACAUUUCAUCACAGCAGAUGAAUGAUGCAUGAUGUAAACAGUGUGACACAGACCUGUUCUGGAAAUAGUGGGAAAGUAACAGCUUCUUUAGUCCCCCCUCCCUGGGACUGCUGAGUUCCCAGUUUGUUGGCAAGGGUCUUGUUCUUUUGGAAAUGCAGCACUUGGGUUAGAGGUCCUGAUCAGAGUGACUGAAAAUGCUAAUUUUGAAAGGCUGUCAGUGGCUAGGAUCUUUGGCCAGAGUGGACACUCCUCAUCAUCACAAGAAAAUAGUGGCCCUUGUCAUGGAGUGUGAAGCCAGAAGCAAGUUAUGACUGAGACAAUUUUAGAGAACGUAACUUCAGGGGGGCCUGGGAACACUAUCAUGUUUGGUGUCAGCACCAGGGAAGAGGGAAUCACUAUGUCUGGGGAUCAGUACAGUAAGUCUGACUUGAUCAGAUGGAUGAAUCAUCUCCAAAUUUUAGGGUUUUGAGAAAAUAAAAUAUAACCUAUUUAUUUUCUCACUGCUUUUUCAAGAGAGUUAUAUACAGCAUAAUUAUGUUUACUGUGUUUUUCUAGGAAAUCUUACGAUUUGUUCAUUCCAGAGGACUUCCUAGAGUGAGUUCAUAUUCAAACUUGUAAAAUUGUCUAAUGAAUUGAUACAUCCAUUGUUGCAUGGUAAUAAUUUUUUUCUGAGAUAGAGUUCUGUGAUAUCUUAUUUCUUAAUAUAAUGUUUCCUAAAUAGGAACGGAAAAUGUCAUUGCUUUUUCAAUCCAUCAUACCUUGCAGAUUACAGGAUGACCUGUGGCACUUGCCAUGUGGUGCUCUGAGGCACUCAGAACUUCAAGGAAUCCUGUUGGCUUUGUUGGUGUUACAUCAGAGAUAAAUAUGGACUCUUAUACUCUGCCUUUUUUUAAUCUUCUCUCUGUUAAAGGCUGGGCUGUUUGAAGUAGGUCAGAUCAUAUUUAGCUCUUGAUUAAUGCUAUAAGACUACAUCAUACCUUUGACUUCCAUGAAGAAUUCCUCAUUAAUCUGUGGAGUAAUUUCCUCUUCAAAACUGAUGACAUAAUGUAAGUUUGUGUUGCUAUUAGAUAUUUACUCAUGCUUUUAUUUUAGAAAAAAAUGUGUCACCUCUGUGUACUGUACAGUCUCAGCUAUUGCCUACUGCGUCAUAGCUGUGAGAUGACAUUGUGAGAUGUACCCAUACAACUUGAUUAAGGAACAUGUGCCACCAAACAUUUAUUUUGGUCAUUUUAAGGCUAAUCAGGAAUGGGACCUGUGCUUAGAAUUUACACAUGUCCAUGCAGGCACACAGGGGAGUGUAUGCUCCCUAAAAUAUAAGGAAGAGGCAAGUGAAAGAAAGUAAUGCACAUGCAGAAUAGGAGUAUUACACCAGUUCAUUAUGUCAAUCUGUGUGGUUUCUGGAGUGUGAGGGUGGCUGAGGCUUUAAGAAUGAGCUGAAAGCUAAAUACAAAUUAGGGGUCUGGCCAAGGAAGGAGUGUAGUGAAACAAUCAACUGUGGAAGGACAAUCCUGGAGCGCAAGGCAAGAGAGAUCCCUGUUAAAGGGCAGGGUCAGCUCCACCUCCAUGUGAAUCAAUCCUGUUUUACCUGCUCUUAAAGACUACCAGCAGUAGAUACUCCCCACUGACUAGGCAAUCUAUUCCACUGGUUAAUUGGCUGUAUUUUGCAAUCAAAGGCCUCUUCUCAGUUUAUUACUGCAAAUAUUCUUGUGUUUAUUGAACACUUUUGCUCUCAUACAAUAUUUGCAAGUAGUUGUAUUGAAAUUCAUGGCAGUGAGAAAUUGCAUUCCUAAGGAAUGUUUAGAAAUUACACACACUUAAUACAUUUCAAAAAAGUUGUUAAUAUAGAGACUUGUGGUUUUUUUCUAACAGACUUGACCUUAGUAUACUGGUCAUAGUCCUACAGUCUUAAUGCUUACAUAGUUUAGAUAAAUGACAAUAAAAAGUUAGAUGAAUGAAAACCACCAAGAUUACAGAUCUAAACUACUAUUAAAUCCAUAUUGCAUAACAUAUUACAUAUUACACAAUAUGUAAAAUAAAUGUUUAGUUUAAAUUGGUCACUAUAUUAAGCUGAAGUGUUAUCACAGACUUGUCAAAAGUGCCAGUGAAACUUUGAUAUAAUUAUUCUGAGGAUAACUAUCUUUAUAAUUCUUAAUUUUAGGGUGUACAGUGAUGUUGCCUUGAAUGUGUUGCAUGUUGUCUCAUUUUAUAUGGUAAUGCUACCAGCAAGAAGUUAAUUAUAAAUUAUGUCCAAAUCAUCCAGUGAUAUUCAUACUUUGUGUGUUGUUUGAUUUGCAAAUGUUUUAUUGCAGUAAGACUAGAAUUUUUUAUUUCAUGAUUUUAAGUUUUUAUUCUUAAUGAGAUAAUCAGCCAAGGUUACAUUUCUGCAUGUAAUUUCCCUGCUGUGACUUUCACAAGCCAAUAGCCAGCCCCAAAGGCACAGGUAUAUUUUAGGCAGGCUGGACCCAAACACAUUUUCUAUGUGUCUUCCACACAUCACAAGGUCACAAAAUGCACUCUAAAUGCUUAGCAAGGCUGUGUGAGAGUGACUGUCACAUGCUUUCACAAAUUCAGCAACUAUCCUUGAGGCCAGAGUGGAGGGACAUUUCUUGCAGAUCUAUAGGAGAAAAGGUAAUUGGAGAAAGUAUUAACUUUGAUGAGCAAGCUUGACACAUGCUGACACUGUAAACUUCUUUUUCCUUGACCCUGGCUGCCUACAUUUCUGGGAUUUGAUCUCCUUGACACCUUUAGACAAGUCUGCACAAGUCACUAAGACCUUGUUACUGCUUGUGGAUUGCUGCAUUUCACAUAAUACCUCUGACUUCCUGAAUCCAAAGUUUUAAAGGACCAGCUGGGGGAUUGCCAGUGUCAGAGAUAAAAGUUGGGAUGUUUUUGCUGUGUGAUGGUUUGGUUUUGUUUUCCCCCCAGAUGGAUUUUUCCCUGUAUGGUUCUAAACUGUUUAAAAAUAUUUUAAUUUUCUCUUUUCUGUAGAAGACUAACAGUGUCUGGGAGACCAGUAUGAUAUCUAAUUAUUUUUGUUUUGUUUAAGGAUGAUUAAUUUUAAAGGUAGAACUGUAUCCUUCAUACCUUACCUUGUCAGACACUGACAUAAGUUAUUCCAAGGAAUUUAAUUUUGAACCGAUUGUUAGUGUAUGAAAGAUGCUGUCUUCCUCCCCAGAGUUAGUGGUGAAUAAUGAAAACAAGAUGUGUUUCUUUCCUAAGUACAACCAGCUGCUAUUAUCAGGAAUCUCAGGAAUUCUCACCAUGACACAGUUAAAGUACAUUGUGUCAUAACAUCAUACGUUGCCAGUUAUCAGAGGAAACCUGUAAAAAGAGUUAGAGUUUGGGAUUUCCUUAUUUUUAGAGUUCACAUCAAACAAAUUCCUUCUAACAACAGCAGUGAGCAACCGUGUCUCUUUCAGCAUGCACCUCCAUGGACAAUCCAGGUGUCUGAGCUCCAAGAAAUGGAUGCUCCUGAGCUUUUGGACUUGGUCAUGUCCAGCCAUUAACUGAAGGAAGUUUAUGCAUUCAUUGGUGCAGUUUCUUAUAGUUGCAUCCUAUAUCUGGCCACAGCCUUUUUUGCUUAACUGAAAUUGUAUUGUACUGAGAAAUUAUCCCUGUGUAGUAAUUACAUGGAAUUUUGAGUCUGGAAUUUGAUUUAUGUGUCAUCAAGAUUCAACUAUAUGAGAGAUCAGGGCUUAUCCAUGACCUAUCAUAGCAGCACUGCUCUAUGAAGAAAAUAAAUCCAACAAACUGCUAAGAAGAGCCUGCUCAGAAUCCAGCCUGACAGACUCUCAGUUGUGGAAGGGUAAUGGAGAGAGGGAGGAUGCACCAUCCAGUAGCAGCAGCUGCAGCAAUUUGUGGAGUGCAGCCCCAAAGCUCCUCUCCCCCCAGGUGAGACAGAUUUAAAUGCAAGUCACCCAAGCAAUAGAGAACAGCCCUGCAGAUUCCCAGAUGGCUGAGGAUGAGAUUUCAGCAUAAUUUUUUCACUGCAGUCUGGUAGAGAAACCUGGCUUUAGAGCUGACACAAACCCAAUUCAGGAUGGCUUUACAUUCAUCCAUGGAGCUUCAAAUUCCUCCCCACGCCCUGCUACUCAAGUGACAAAACUCUUUGCUGUCUUGUGAAGUUGUCUUCACAUUUCAGAAGAUGAAAACUAAGACUGGGAUAUGGAGCCUUAAAGCCCUUUGGCACACUUUUCAUACUUUUACAUACAGUGACCACAGCUUCUUUUUGGAGUCAGAUGCCUGUGAGAAAUCCCUACAAGUUUAAUCCAGUUUAUACAGAAAAGGGAAGAAGAGGUAAGACCACAUGCUUUUAGUCCCGCUUUACCUUUAAGCAUAAAUACAACUCUUCUUUGAAUAUCUAUAGUAAAUGAACAGAAACAAGUAAGAAGCAGUAAUGAAGCAAUUUUGUUUAAAAAUCGAAGCAAACACUUGCAAGAAAUAAUUUGUAUCAGGCAUUUAGUUCUACUUGCAUUAUGAAGAAAUUUCUGAAGAUCAUUUAAACAAGAUAGCCUUUGAGAUAAAUCCAGAAAUCUGUUGCUAUUCAAGUUUAUGUUGAUCAUAUCUAUUUGUCAAUGAAUGGUUAUCCUUUUCUGAUAAGAAAAUUAUGUAAUGAUAAGUAAUUUAAUUUUAUGGUUCCAACUUGCUGACGUAUCUUAGUUUAAAGUUUACCUAGAAAUAGUCUUAUGGCUUUGAGAAUAUGGCCUUUUUGCUGCCAUUGAAAUCUGAGAAGAGCACUGGAUACGAGGAAUUGAAAGUCUUCACAUAACUUUGCAAUACAAGAAGGAUGGGAGGAAUACCAGAAUAGGAGAACUUGAAAUCAGACACCUGGAUGUAAUGUGAGAGAUGAUAAAUGUAUUUUACACAUCUACAAGAAAGAAAUCACAGGUAAAAAAAAAA